GAGUUUGAUCGUGGCUCAGAUUGAACGCUGGCGGCAUGCCUUACACAUGCAAGUCGAACGGCAGCAUGAUCUAGCUUGCUAGAUUGAUGGCGAGUGGCGAACGGGUGAGUAAUACAUCGGAACGUGCCCUGUAGUGGGGGAUAACUAGUCGAAAGAUUAGCUAAUACCGCAUACGACCUGAGGGUGAAAGUGGGGGACCGCAAGGCCUCAUGCUAUAGGAGGGGCCGAUGUCUGAUUAGCUAGUUGGUGGGGUAAAGGCCCACCAAGGCGACGAUCAGUAGCUGGUCUGAGAGGACGAUCAGCCACACUGGGACUGAGACACGGCCCAGACUCCUACGGGAGGCAGCAGUGGGGAAUUUUGGACAAUGGGGGCAACCCUGAUCCAGCAAUGCCGCGUGUGUGAAGAAGGCCUCGGUGUAAG
rnacentral:rRNA from 1 species